ACGGACGCUGGCGGCGUGCCUAAUACAUGCAAGUCGAGCGCGGGAAGCGGACAAUCACCCUUCGGGGUGUGCGUCCGUGGAACGAGCGGCGGAUGGGUGAGUAUCACGUGGGCAACCUGCCUGUAAGAUUGGGAUAACUCGCGGAAACGUGAGCUAAUACCGAAUGAAGUCUUUCACCGCCUGGUGAAAGGAUGAAAGAUGGCUCUUGAGCUAUCACUUACAGAUGGGCCCGCGGCGCAUUAGCUAGUUGGUGGGGUAAAGGCCUACCAAGGCGACGAUGUGUAGCCGACCUGAGAGGGUGAUCGGCCACACUGGGACUGAGACACGGCCCAGACUCCUACGGGAGGCAGCAGUAGGGAAUCUUCCGCAAUGGACGAAAGUCUGACGGAGCAACGCCGCGUGAAGUGAUGAAGGUCUUCGGAUCGUAAAACUCUGUUGUCAGGGAAGAACAAGUUGUGUUCUAACAGGACAUGACCUUGACGGUACCUGACCAGAAAGCCCCGGCUAACUACGUGCCAGCCGCGGC
rnacentral:rRNA from 1 species